UACAGAGGGGGCAAGCGUUGUUCGGAAUUACUGGGCGUAAAGGGCGCGUAGGCGGCCUGCUAAGUCGAACGUGAAAUCCCCGGGCUCAACCCGGGAACUGCGUCCGAUACUGGCAGGCUUGAAUCCGGGAGAGGGAUGCGGAAUUCCAGGUGUAGCGGUGAAAUGCGUAGAUAUCUGGAGGAACACCGGUGGCGAAGGCGGCAUCCUGGACCGGCAUUGACGCUGAGACGCGAAAGCGUGGGGAGCGAACAGG
rnacentral:rRNA from 1 species